rnacentral:Y_RNA from 1 species
GGUUGGUCUUAGUGCAGUGGUGUUUAUAACUAAUUAAUCAUUACCAGUUACAGAUUCCUUUAUUCUUUCUCCAAUUCCACUGCUUCACUUGACCAGCCUUAA